CUGUACUGUUCUUUAAUUGAUUUUUGAAUCCCCACAAUUUCACAAAACAUUUAUAAGUAUAUAAAAACAUAUGUGCGGAGAAAUAAAAAGUCAGCAAAUACAAUUAGUCCAAAUGUUCACACAAACGAACAUGUGGAGCGACUCACAUGUGGCUCUCCUGUCAACGAGACAAACAGAAGUGGUGUUGUCCUCUUGCUUAACCAAU